GGCGCGACGGUACGAGACGGGCAGCCGACUGUACGCGACGAUACGGGAGGCGAGGCAACGGGACGCGACGCAAUGGAGACGUACUGCCGCGGCGCAACGAAAGGGGGUGAAACAAAGAGAGGACAAGGGGAGGAUGUUACCAGCAGUAUAUCGUGCUACGGUGCAGUCGCCAGAUGCCAGAUGCCAGACGCCGGACGCCAGACGCUAGACGCCAGACCCUGGAUUCCGGGCAACGACGAAAAACUCGAGAUCUCCGAAGACCCCGAGACGCUCGAAACUAUCAAGACGCCGCAGCAUCCUCGAGAUACCCGAAAUAUCUGGGCAAGUUCGAAACUCGGCGGGACACGCGAAACAAUUAAACUGGAAACACGUUUCGCGUCGCGUAUCUAUGAAAAGUCUGCGGUUCCGGCAGGAAUCUAGCGAGUAUAGGUGUCGCGGAACGAAGGCGAGCGGAGAGGAAUGUAUCGAAGGAACGAUGCUUCAGCAACAGGUGCUCGAUUAGCGGCUAAAUAUGGUAAUGUUUUCCGCCUCCCUAGAGCUAGACGCUAAAACGUUCUACGUUUUUCGAUUCUCCGUGCAGUUUCACGGAGGGAAACGCGUCGCGAACGAUCACGGGACUCGUGCUUCAGCUCGAAUGAUCGCGACAUUAAGUUCCGGAAGAUUGCGAUCUUUUAUUUAUCGGUACUUACCGGGUCGCUCCGUUAACAAUACCUCCUCCGCUCGACUCCGUCGAUUUCGCAGUCCCUCGGCUAUCGAUGGAAGUCCCUGUUAUAAAUUCAGCCGUGAAUCCUCGGCGGCCCGCUAUUCGAACGAAUUCCACGAAGUAGAACCAUAAGUUCUUUCUCGUCCAACUACAAGGAAAUGAUCGACCGAAUAACGAGACCGACAGACACUCGUCCGGAGAAACGAUGGAAACUGUAGUUAUCGAGGAGAUACCCUUUGUUACCAUGUCGGCCGACCUGGACAACGUUUUUAGCGGUCCGUUUCGCAGAAAUCUAUGUUGUUGCGAGCGAACGAGAACCGAACGCGCUGCUGGUCGAAAGAGCGAAACACAGCGCCGAACUGUCCGGAACGGAGCGAUUGUUCGCGGUGAAUUAUUUUCACGAGGGAACGGCGUCCCGUUCAAAGCCAACGUCGGAGCUUGCUAAUUUUUAGUUUAAUCACCGACCGCUAGUAAAAAGUAACCAUUCCGUCGAGAUGCGCGGGACGGGAAAGGAAGAAACUAAUGAUUGUUGAACGUCGAGUACUCUGUAAAGUGUUGUACUCGACGAAACCGUGGUCCCCAUUAACCUCAAAGCCGAAGAAAUAAAGCGGAGGACGGAGCGAGCUUUGAGUGGAGGGUAAAAAGAAUGAAACGAAUUUAUCCUGCAGCGUAAAUAGGAAAUAUAAAACGACGCACGGAGAUGAAGAGGAAACGGGACACGGUCGCUUGUCAAAAGGUAUCAGGCGACCAGAUGCUGCGGCUCCGGCAACAAAUGUUAAUUGACGCGGUUCGCAACAAGCUCUGCUGCUUUGAAAAAUUGUUCGUGAAACUGGCAUCUUUUCCAGCGCUCCAAAGUUCGUGCCGCGCAAACCAGGAAAGUUCGAAGCGAAGAAAUUCUUAUGUCGGAGCUCCGUGCAUGCGCGACAGUCGGUUGGAAUUCAGGUGGUUUUCUGCUGUAAAUCGUCACGAAUCGAUUUUUCUUUCUUUUCACUUUCUCGAAUAACAUUGUCUCGGAGAUAUAUGCGCGGAAGCAUGUAGUCGAAUUUCUAAAGUUAGCAGAGUUAUACGCAUUCUUAUGUCGGAGCUCCGUGCAUGCGCGACAGUCGGUUCGAAUUGAGGCGGUCUUCUGCUGUAAAUCGUCAAAAAUCGAUGUCUCUUUCUUUUCACUUUCUCGAAUAACAUUGUCUCGGAGAUAUAUGCGCGGAAGCAUGUAGUCGAAUUUCCAAAGUUAGCAGAGUUAUACGCAGCUGUUUGAACGGCCAACCAGACCGUUGGCAAUAGGAUGCGACAUAGAGUAUACAAAUGGAUAAAAAAGGGUCAAAGCAUAUCCUGAUCCAUGCAGUUCGACGGAAGAAGAGGAAAAUCGGGAUCUCUAUCUUGAACAACAGGUAAUUAUCAAUUUUUUUUCGUGAAAGCUACGAGAGCAUCUUUUUGACACGUGAUUGCGUACGAGUCGCUGCAUUGUCGCUAAUUUUAAUUACUUUUUUGAUCACCUAAAAAUUUGUAAAUAAAAUUGAGAGAUGAACAGAUCCAUUCGAAAAUCGUUAAUGAAAAAUACUGCACAGCUUUUUGACAAAAAUUCUAGGAAACGCGUUCUACGGUAGAAGACCUGCUUAAACAAAUAAAUCACUGUAGUUAGCCGUGGCAGCCGGAUAAUCGAAUUGGCAACCACGCGGCGCCGUUUCUCCGACGAACGACAGCUUCGAGCGUCGUUUUGGCCUUUGCUCUAAUAGUUUUUCGAUGGAUCGUUACGUGACCACACGUGGAAUAUCCGGUUACUUCGAAAUCGGUGAAUCGUGUCGGACGAGACACGCGCAAGUAUCGCAUUCUUGUUAUUCUCGACCAAUACCGCAUCGGCCAGCCCAUUACCUUCUCGGCUAGAACCGUCGCCGGAGCGAAUAUUCGACGAUUAAAACACGCCUGAUCGUUAAUAGAUUUAAUUGUUGCGGAUAAAGCGCGGAGGUAACAUCCGUCGACGGCCAUAACUCAUUGUCAGACAAAACGGAAGACCGAGCCGAGGCACAGAAAGUAAAACGAAGUUGAAAAGUGGAAUAAGGAUCGACUCCGGAUAGACAGCCUAGAUUGAGUACCAUUAUUGAUGAGGGGGCUAAAGUAGAUCCACAGUUCCAAUAGACGCUGUUAGCGGAAAGACACAUCUUCGGGAACUUUGUGCGCAGCUCGGGGACGACUCGAUCCUGCUCUUCUCUCUGGAUAAUGUCGCGUAUACGAGUCGCGUGACGCAUUCAAAGAAAUCGAACCAAGAGUGAGCGUUCUGUACAUCGUGGCGGGAACCCAAACAUUUUUGUGAUCCUAAAUGUUCAAUAAAAUAAAAGAAUGUUAGUAAUAAAA